UAUGUGUUUGUUGUAGGUUUAUGCAUUUAAGUGGCUGCUUGUAUCAGCAUUUGUGAUUGCAAUUGUGUGUGUAUGUGUGUUUAUGCUUAUUAUCCACUCCUAUUUGAAUGGAUAAAGCCCUUCUUUUCCAGGCCAUUUCUCUCCAUAUGUCAGGAUCAAGGUCAUGGCAUGUUUUAAUGUUGCCAAAAAAGAGAUAGAUAGAUAGAAAGAAAGCAAGAGAGACGGAGGGAAAAAAAGGAACAAAAAGAAAUGGUCAAACUGGAAAGUCAAGAUUUAUGACAGCAAGAAAAAAAUGCGCGACUGCAAGGAUCUGAUGAGAGACGAACAAGACAUACCCUUCCUGCAACCUAAAGCUAGAAUCUGUGUCUCUCCUUGCGAAGUGCAAUCCAGACUUACAAUGUGACAAGGAGGAGCUCCCUAAUGGGCUCGAUGCAGAGAUGAAAGGUUUCCCCAGUACUCAGCAGAUGUGUCUGAGUUCUUUUGUCCACGGCUGUUUGUUUUGACAGCACGCUAAGAGACAAGAGGCCUGGCGAGCCCAGACAUCCUGGAGAUUUCAAAUCCAUCUCAAAGCCAUUGUCUCAGAGGAUUCGUUCGUCAACAUGGCACAUCGUAAUGUCUGCUGAGAAAGGACACUCUCAGACUAAGAGCCCCCUUCUAUCAUCCAAUCACCUUCAAGUCUGGAUAAGGGGGAACCAACGGUUGCACACUAAAGCCAAUGGAAUCCAAAUGAGUCACGGAUGUGUGAGAAGUGACGUAUAAAAUGGAGGUGUACUAUUGCUAAUGUGGGACAGAACAGAUAUCUGAAGUGCAUCUCAGGACAAGCGGUUUCCUGUAAGUUUUCCCCACUGAUUAUCAACAGAGAAAACACAGAGAAGGUGGCCAAAUCCCUAGGGCCGUAAUUUCAAACAUAUGCGCCUAGAAACAUGUUCAGUUCUAUUUAGCAUCAUCGUUUUAAACUAAAUCUGCUUUAUCACUGACAAAGAGCAACUGUCUGUCUUGACUUGUGAGAUUGACUGAGUUUUUAGUUAUGUUUGAGUGAAGCAUCAACAUUGUUGUAAAAACUAGAAGAAAUAAAAAGCCACAAGUGAGUCAACAGUUGACAUACAGAACUAAUUGGACAGCAGUCUGGAUCAAUUAUAGAUUUUAUAGAUGACAAGCUUUCUUGGCAUGCAAUGAAUCAGGCUCUUUGCAGUAUUUCAAAGACACAAACUGUUUCUUCAUUGACGGCAAGAUGUAGUAUUUCCUAGAAUGGUUUCUCCGGUGUAGUUUAGUUAUGUCAAGCUAAGUGAUUCAGGCAAAUUAAUUUGGAAACUUAAAAAUUGGUUUCAU